ACUGUCUUGCUUAGCCAAUCGCCGGUGGGUUCUGUGAGAAAGGCUGGGAGAGGCUGCAAGCAGUGUUCAAGAAACAGGCUCUGAGGGGAGACGUCUCAGUUUAUUGGUCCCAUUUGAAAAAUUACAUCCCUUCCUCUCAUCCAAAAAAGAGCUGUGAUCUCCUCCUCCCACUCAUCACUUGCAAUACAGCAGCUUUGUGCAGCUUGUAAUCCCAGUGGCAGAGCAAUAAUGCUUCUUCCAGACCUGCAAGGGAACUGCAGCUCCCCAGAAACACAAGGGAACUGCAGGCAGCAUUUUUCCAUCUUCUCACCGACAUGCAAAGGCUGGAAGGAAUGGCAUCCACAGCUAGUUACCCCGUGGGAGCCGUGGAGAAAGCCGAGGAACGGAGACGGGAGGAUGUGUCACUAAAUUAAUGUACCUGCUCUGCUGUGGGACAGCCACAUCAGCAUCACUGCUGUCACCUGGCACCACCACGGGCACUGAGCGAGAAUGAGUCUGUCACACUUCAUUCACCAGGCUUUGAUGAUGGAUUUGGUGAAACCCUUGUCUGGGAUGAUGGGCUUUUCUCCUGUGGAAAUGUCACAGGAGCGCUUGAUGGGUCUGAUGGCCUCAGCGUGGUGGUGCAAAAGCAGCUAUAAUGUAUGGGGGGAGGCAGAGCUGAGCAGGAAUCCCAGCUGUGGAAAGGGAAGGCUGCUGCAGCAGCUUGGCCCAGUGGACGGGUGUUCCCUGUGGGAAUGAACUCCAAUUACCAAAGGUCUGGUUCAAUAGCAGGGCACCUUGUGGGGGCUUCCCAUUAAUAUCCUAACUCAGGGAUCGAAUCUCUCUGCUUCCAGGAAGGAAGCACAGGCUUUAAAAUAGAUAUCCAGAGGAGAUGUAAAUAAUGUGAGCUGUUAGUGUUCAGGAGAGAACCUGACAGACAGGUCCUGCAAAAUCACAAGGUGUGUAAAGAGGGAUGGAGAAGUUGUAGGCCAUCCUUUUUUAUUCUUUCUGUGGAGAUUUUCCAUGGGUGGAUUGCUGUGAGAAGUCCCAUGCUUUCUAUAACAACAGGGCUUCCUAAUCUGAAGUCAAAAUUGAGCUAGUCUGCAGCCCUUGGAAACAGAGAGUGAUUCACUGGGGCUGGGCUGAAUGACUGGAUUUUGAUGCAUUUGGAUUCCUGGCUUCCCUGGAAAUCGAUGUCAAAUGCACCCUUUGGCAUCUGAAACGCUUUUAAAAUCUGGUCCUAAAUGUGUUUAUGCUGCAGGAAGUGUCAGAGUUGCAAUCAAAAUGUGGAAUUUAUGAUAAAAUCUGACCUGUGGCAAAGCCUUGACGCUGCUCACCCAGAAAUUAACAGUGGAUGCAACGCUGGUUAUACUGCAGAGAGAACUGGGAAAAUAAAAAACACAUAUUAAAAGAAUUUCUUUUUUCUCCCUGAAUUAAUUAGCAAAAUAUCCCCAUCUCCGUAUAAAGUCUUUCUGGACCUUGUUGCCAGUAGAAUUACAUGGGCUCAAAUAAUCAGUGAUCUCUGUUGGAAGCAGCAGCAUUUGGUUGGUGUCCCCUCAUGGCAGGGCACGGUUACGCUUGUCCUUGCCCUCGUCUCCCUGGUUUCUCACCAUCUGACCACCACCCACGAGACCCAAGGCAAGCUUUGAGUCAUGGCCCGUGCUGGCACAGGCAGAGAGGGGCUG